AUGAACGCUAGCUACAGGCUUAACACAUGCAAGUCGAGGGGCAGCAUGGUCUUAGCUUGCUAAGACUGAUGGCGACCGGCGCACGGGUGAGUAACACGUAUCCAACCUGCCGUCUACUCUUGGACAGCCUUCUGAAAGGAAGAUUAAUACAAGAUGGCAUCAUGAGUCCGCAUGUUCACAUGAUUAAAGGUAUUCCGGUAGACGAUGGGGAUGCGUUCCAUUAGAUAGUAGGCGGGGUAACGGCCCACCUAGUCUUCGAUGGAUAGGGGUUCUGAGAGGAAGGUCCCCCACAUUGGAACUGAGACACGGUCCAAACUCCUACGGGAGGCAGCAGUGAGGAAUAUUGGUCAAUGGGCGAGAGCCUGAACCAGCCAAGUAGCGUGAAGGAUGACUGCCCUAUGGGUUGUAAACUUCUUUUAUAAAGGAAUAAAGUCGGGUAUGCAUACCCGUUUGCAUGUACUUUAUGAAUAAGGAUCGGCUAACUCCGUGCCAGCAGCCGCGGUAAUACGGAGGAUCCGAGCGUUAUCCGGAUUUAUUGGGUUUAAAGGGAGCGUAGAUGGAUGUUUAAGUCAGUUGUGAAAGUUUGCGGCUCAACCGUAAAAUUGCAGUUGAUACUGGAUAUCUUGAGUGCAGUUGAGGCAGGCGGAAUUCGUGGUGUAGCGGUGAAAUGCUUAGAUAUCACGAAGAACUCCGAUUGCGAAGGCAGCCUGCUAAGCUGCAACUGACAUUGAGGCUCGAAAGUGUGGGUAUCAAACAGGAUUAGAUACCCUGGUAGUCCACACGGUAAACGAUGAAUACUCGCUGUUUGCGAUAUACGGCAAGCGGCCAAGCGAAAGCGUUAAGUAUUCCACCUGGGGAGUACGCCGGCAACGGUGAAACUCAAAGGAAUUGACGGGGGCCCGCACAAGCGGAGGAACAUGUGGUUUAAUUCGAUGAUACGCGAGGAACCUUACCCGGGCUUAAAUUGCAGAUGAAUUACGGUGAAAGCCGUAAGCCGCAAGGCAUCUGUGAAGGUGCUGCAUGGUUGUCGUCAGCUCGUGCCGUGAGGUGUCGGCUUAAGUGCCAUAACGAGCGCAACCCUUAUCGAUAGUUACCAUCAGGUGAUGCUGGGGACUCUGUCGAGACUGCCGUCGUAAGAUGUGAGGAAGGUGGGGAUGACGUCAAAUCAGCACGGCCCUUACGUCCGGGGCUACACACGUGUUACAAUGGGGGGUACAGAGGGCCGCUACCACGCGAGUGGAUGCCAAUCCCAAAAACCUCUCUCAGUUCGGACUGGAGUCUGCAACCCGACUCCACGAAGCUGGAUUCGCUAGUAAUCGCGCAUCAGCCACGGCGCGGUGAAUACGUUCCCGGGCCUUGUACACACCGCCCGUCACACCAUGAGAGCCGGUAAUACCCGAAGUCAGUAGUCUAACCGCAAGGAGGACGCUGCCGAAGGUAGGAUUGGCGACUGGGGUG
rnacentral:rRNA from 1 species